rnacentral:rRNA from 1 species
UACGUAGGGUGCGAGCGUUGUCCGGAAUUAUUGGGCGUAAAGGGCUCGUAGGCGGUUUGUCGCGUCGGGAGUGAAAACACUGGGCUUAACCGAGUGCUUGCUUUCGAUACGGGCAGACUUGAGGCAUUGAGGGGAGAACGGAAUUCCUGGUGUAGCGGUGAAAUGCGCAGAUAUCAGGAGGAACACCGGUGGCGAAGGCGGUUCUCUGGGCAUUAACUGACGCUGAGGAGCGAAAGCAUGGGGAGCGAACAGG